rnacentral:lncRNA from 1 species
GCCACACGUGCUGAUUUUGAUGAGUUACGCGAUGCUCCUUUGCCAUGCUAUGCCCUUAUAUGCUCUAGUGUGCUCGUUUCACUUGAUGAUGCACCAUCUUUGGAUAUUCCCCCUGCAGUUGCUAACAUUUUGCAGGAGUACGCUGAUAUCUUUCCAAAAGAUUUGCCACCGGGACUCCCACCACCAAUCUCGUAAGCUCCUGUUUGAUAGAACCAAACACUGAGUGCUCCCACUCAUGGAACGAACUUUGCAUCCACCCCAACAUAGUCUGCAAUUAGUUUAGGUCCUGGACAUCACCUGGAUCACCCCAAUUCUCCUCCACUAGCUUCAUAUAAGAAGGGUCUCAACACACAUGUUUUCGUACUUAUAACCCCUCCUCCUACUACCUUUGUUUCUCCUAUAACAGGAGCAUUCUAUUAUCCAACAGCAAUGAUCAGAUUCUAUUGUUUGCACAUGCCACAGCUUAAUAUCCUUGAACAUGUCAAAAAAGGCUGCAUCUGCAAAGGCUCUAUCCAGGCAAACCUUUAUAUUGUGAUCACCCUGCUGACGGUUGUCCCACGUGUAUGGCAAUCCAAUGAAACCAAGAUCAGAAAAAACACAUGCACUAACAGCAUCACGAAACCCAUCCAUCUGCCUUUCAGGUCUCAUCACCCCGCCAAACUGCUCCUGAGCAUCAAGAACUUUGUUGAAGUCCCCAGCACAUAUCCAGGGGCAUAGCUUUGGCUGCUCAGGUAGUGCAAUAGGUCCCAACUCCUAUAUCUCAUCUCCCUUCUCGCCUCACCAUAAAAAUCAAUGAAGUGCCAGCGUUCCAUACCAGAAUCUUGGUCCACAACAGCCACAUCUAUGUGAAGCUUAUCAUAGCUUUGUAGUUUUACACAAACCUCAUGUGUCCAGAGGAAAGCGACCCCCCC